UUAAUUAAGCAUUCUCUGUUUACUUACUUUUAUUUCUAUAAUUAAUCAAUUAAUUUUUUAUUAAUCUAUAGAGAGCAAGACAUACGCACCUCCAUGGCCAGUAGACCAGCAGUUACCAGUUAAAAACUUGAAUUCACAGCCUGCAAAACAAACAGAUAACAUACCCCGUUACCACAUCAAAUUCACUCUUUUUUGUUUCAAUUAACAAAACAAAUUAAAGUGUGUGUGUGUGUGUGUUUAUAACUCAAUAAUAAUAAUAAUAAUACUAAUAAUAAUAAUAAAACAAUUAAAGAUAUGAUAAAAUGAAACAAAAUAAAAACAAAAUGCUUACUUGACAGUAAUUAGUUGCUGAUACAAUUGAAUAAGAGCUGCAGAUCCUGCUUUAUUAGUUGUCGUUCUCCUUCCAAGUUCCAACCUCUUAUCUCUUCAAUCAGAGAACUGGUUCUAUCUCGUGAACUUUCAAUGUGUACGACGAUACAGAUGUACAAAUCUAUUUAUAUAAAAGUCUUCGAAUCUCCGAAUAUAA
rnacentral:lncRNA from 1 species